rnacentral:rRNA from 1 species
AGAACGAACGUUGGCGGCACGCCUAACACAUGCAAGUCGAGCGCCCAGCAAUGGGAGCGGCGGACGGGUGAGGAACACGUGGGAACAUGCCUUUCGGUUCGGCACAACUGCGGGAAACUGCAGCUAAUUCCGGAUACGCCCUUACGGGGAAAGAUUUAUCGCCGAAAGAUUGGCCCGCGUCUGAUUAGCUAGUUGGUGAGGUAAUGGCUCACCAAGGCUUCGAUCAGUAGCUGGUUUGAGAGAACGACCAGCCACACUGGGACUGAGACACGGCCCAGACUCCUACGGGAGGCAGCAGUGGGGAAUCUUGGACAAUGGAGGAAACCCUGAUGCAGCGACGCCGCGUGGAGGAUGACGGAUCUAGGUCUGUAAACUCCUUUUCAUGGAAAGACUUAGGACGGUACCAUGAGAAUAAGGACCGGCUAACUACGUGCCAGCAGCCGC